rnacentral:rRNA from 1 species
ACAGAGGUCCCAAGCGUUGUUCGGAUCCACUGGGCGUAAAGGGUGCGUAGGCGGUCGGGUAAGUCUGAUGUGAAAUCUCUGAGCUCAACUCAGAAAUGGCAUUGGAUACUAUUCGGCUAGAGAGUCGGAGGGGGGACUGGAAUACUUGGUGUAGCAGUGAAAUGCGUAGAUAUCAAGUGGAACACCAGUGGCGAAGGCGAGUCCCUGGACGACUUCUGACGCUGAGGCACGAAAGCUAGGGGAGCAAACAGGA